rnacentral:lncRNA from 1 species
CUCCUUUUGUGAGGAUUGGGAUAUUCCGACUCCUUAAGGGCCUGGCGCACAUAAGGGCCACAUCUGCCAGAGCCUGGAGUCUGCGAAGGCCGGGACCCGGUUCCCCGGCCCACAGUGGGGGUGUGCAAACCCGAGAGAACUGGUCGCUGAAACCUCUACAACUUAGUUGACCGUAACUGCCAGAGCCCUGCCCUGAAUUCCUGUCCUUACUCCCUCUUUAAGAUUGCGUACCCACUGCAGAGUGCUGAAGACGGGGUAGCCACGAGGUUGCAAAUUCGUGAAGAAUCAGCAUCAUGUUUGGCAGCUGAGUAUUGGAGCCAGGAGCCUGCCAUGAGGUUUUGAGAACAGAGUGCUGUUUUAGAGCUGGCAGCAGCAUCUCAGCCCAAGAGAAGGUUAUAUUCCCAGAGGAUGUCAGUCCCAAGGACCAGUAGCUGCCAUCAGUUUGGAUUCUGAAAACUAACUGGCAUCAACACUGGGUGUAGAAACAUGCUUGCCUUAUGUAUCAGAGGACAUGCUCAGCAGAUCCAAGAGAUAUAUUUGGCAACUUUUUCUAGAAAAGGCACAUUGGGUAUCAUUCAUUACAUUCUUGAGUUUUUUUGGGUUUUUUUUUUUUUUUUUGAGACAGUCUUGCUGUAUUGCCCAGGCUGGAGUGUGGUGGCACAAUCACAGCUCAUUGCAUCCUCAAUCACCCAGGCCUAAGCAAUCCUCCCACCUUGUAGCUGGGACUACAGCUCACAGCACACCUGGCUAAAAUUUUUUUUUUGUUGAGACGGAUUCUCUAUGUUGCCCAGGCUGGUCUCAGGCUCCUGGGCUCAGAUGGUCCUCCUGCCUCAGCUUCCAAAGGCACAGGCCAAGUUGUAGCUUUGUCCCUUGCCAUCAUGCCCAACAAGAGGUUCUAUACCUUUUAAUGAAUUGACUUUCAUAAAUUGGUUAUGUUGGUGGGCAAAGUUCUUUAAGCUGGAAAUUGUAAAUUCCUCCUGAAAUGUUUUUUCAUGCAGUUACCAUGAACUAAUACUACAAUAAAGGAUGGUCUUGGGUGUCAA